UUUUAGCCCUGAUUGAAGCGGCAUCCUUUUUAUUGAUAACACUUCCCGUGUAAUUAAUAAAAAGAUAUAGCUAAAAGCAAGAUGUAGC
rnacentral:sRNA from 1 species